GUAGGUGAACCUGCGGAAGGAUCAUUAACACGAAUUUAUUAUCCAAUAUCAAAAACCAAACGUGAACCUUUUUCCUCCCUACAUAUAUACACUAUAUAUAUACAUAUAGAUGCUAUGUGUAGGCUAACCUCAUAUACAAAUUUUAACACUAUAAACUUCAACUAGUUUUAAUCUAACCAUUAAAACAUCUAAACUAAAGAAGACAAGGUUAUUCGAAAGAGUAAACUUUAGCUUUUUUCGAUUUACGAAA
rnacentral:misc_RNA from 1 species